GAUGAAGAACGUAGCGAAAUGCGAUAAGUAAUGUGAAUUGCAGAAUUCCGUGAAUCAUCGAAUCUUUGAACGCACAUUGCGCCCUCUGGUAUUCCGGGGGGCAUGCCUGUCCGAGCGUCAUUGCUGCCCUCAAGCACGGCUUGUGUGUUGGGCCCCGUCCUCCGAUCCCGGGGGACGGGCCCGAAAGGCAGCGGCGGCACCGCGUCCGGUCCUCGAGCGUAUGGGGCUUUGUCACCCGCUCUGUAGGCCCGGCCGGCGCUUGCCGAUCAACCCAAAUUUUUUAUCCAGGUUGACCUCGGAUCAGGUAGGGAUACCCGCUGAACUUAAGCAUAUCAAUAAGCGGAGGA
rnacentral:misc_RNA from 1 species